rnacentral:rRNA from 1 species
UACGUAGGGUGCGAGCGUUGUCCGGAAUUAUUGGGCGUAAAGAGCUUGUAGGCGGUUUGUCGCGUCUGCUGUGAAAUCUCAAGGCUCAACCUUGAGCUUGCAGUGGGUACGGGCAGACUAGAGUGUGGUAGGGGAGACUGGAAUUCCCGGUGUAGCGGUGAAAUGCGCAGAUAUCGGGAGGAACACCGGUGGCGAAGGCGGUUCUCUGGGCCUUACCUGACGCUGAGGAGCGAAAGCGUGGGGAGCGAACAGG